rnacentral:tRNA from 1 species
GAAGGUGGGGCUCAGGGGUAGAGCGCGUGCUCAGCAUGCACGAGGUCCUGGGUUCAACCCCCAGUACCUCCG